rnacentral:lncRNA from 1 species
GUGCUCAACCUACAAGAACAGUUUCUGAUAUUUUAAGGAAGGCGGAAUUCUUUAAAGAAAAAGAAAGAACUUUGAGUUAAUUGAAGAACUAAAUGAAUAAAAAACUAGGAGAGGCUCACUAGUAUCCCUUGUUGUCUAACUAUUUAGAAAUAAUUUGCCUCUUUCUUAAUCCUAUUUUUGACUGGAUUUAUGUCGUGCCAAUCCAACAUAAGCCUUUAUUUUUUUGAGUUUUUCUAUCUAAUUUUUUUCUUACCAUUGUAUUUCCAUUGACAAAGGUCCAUUGAACAUCUAGAAUUUGUAGAUGGAUAAGUCUCUUUAUCCUCACUCCCUAUUAGGUUUUUUGCCUACACUUUGCUCAAAUGGUAGGGUUGUCCCUCUUGUUUGUACUCUCAUACAAGAUUUAUUUAUUUAUUUAAAUAAAAAUGCUAAAAAAAUGACAAUUUUACGAUCGUGAUUGGUGCCACUUUUAACCUUAGUGAAAUUUAACCAGACCCGUUCCUUUUGGUAUCUGAGUGUUUUCAAUGGUGAUAAAAUCUUUCUUUUAAUGUCUUGCUAUUUUAAGAUUUUGACAGGGGUGUGCGGUGUAAUUCCAUUGAUUUUUGGAUUUCGAUCGUAUCUAAGAUCCUAGUUUAUCUGGGUUGCUAACUCAAUGGUAGAGUACUCGGCUUUUAAGUGCGACUAUGAUCUUUUACACAUUUGGAUGAAGCAAAAAAUUCGUCCAGACUCUUGGUAGAGUCUAUAAGACCGCGACUGAUCCUCAAGGGUAAUGAAUGGAAAAAAUAGCAUGUCGUAAUAAAAUCAAUUUCUUAUUUUGGAUUUUUGGAAUGGAAUAAAAAAAUUCUGAUUUUCUGGGUCUAAUGAAUAAAUGGAUAGAGCCUGGCUCCAAUUCUGGUAAAACAAAAAGCAACGAGCUUAACUUCUUAAUUGGAAGAACUCCCUGAUCUAAUUAGACGUUAAAAAUAGAUUAGUGCCUGAUGUAGGGAAAAGCUGGUUUUCCUAUGAGUAGACCUUUGAUUUUUUCUUUUUUUUUUAGAAAUCCUAAUUAUUCUUGAUUUUGGAUUGAAAAGGAUGUUAUGGAUUGAAUGUGUAAAAGAAGCAGUAUAUUGAUAAAGAGACUGUAUCCCAAAGUCAAAAGAGCAAUUGGCCUGCAAAAAUAAAGGAUUUGUUCUCUUUUGUAAUUAGAACAAACAUAAACAAAUUGGAUAGAAAAGGAGCGGAAAAAGAUCCGUGGAUUAGACUCCUUUUCUUCCCCAGGGGUUUGUAUUAAAAAAUGCAACACCCUGUUCUGACCAUAUUGUACUAUGUAUCACCAUUUGAUAAACCGAGAAAUAUUUCUCUCUCUCUGAUUCAAGUAGAAAUACAAAUGGAAAAAUUCGAGGGUUAUUCAGAAAAACUUAAAUUUCCUAGACAAUAUUUCGUCUACCCACUACUCUUUCAGGAGUACAUUUAUGUGUUUGCCCAUGAUUAUGGAUUAAAUGGUUCCGAACUUGUCGAAAUUAUUGGUUCUAAUAACAAGAAAUUUAGUUCACUACUUGUGAAACGGUUAAUGAUUCGAAUGUAUCAGCAGAAUUUUUGGAUUAAUUUGGUUAAUCAUCCUAACCAAGAUCGAUUAUUGGAUUACAACAAUUUUUUUUAUUCUGAGUUUUAUUCUCAGAUUCUAUCUGAGGGGUUUGCGAUCGUUGUAGAAAUCCCAUUCUCGCUACGAGAACAGUCUUGUCCGGAAGAAAAAGAAAUACCAAAGUUUCAGAAUUUACGAUCUAUUCAUUCAAUAUUUCCUUUUUUAGAAGACAAAUUUUUGCACUUACAUUAUCUAGCACAUAUAGAAAUACCCUAUCCUAUCCAUUUGGAUAUCUUGCUUCAACUCCUUCAAUACCGGAUCCAAGAUGUUCCAUCCUUGCAUUUAUUGCGAUUCUUUCUCAACUACUACUCGAAUUGGAAUAGUUUUAUUACUUCAAUGAAAUCCAUUUUUAUUUUGAAAAAAGAAAAUAAAAGACUAUUUCGGUUCCUAUAUAACUCUUAUGUAUCAGAAUAUGAAUUUUUCUUGUUGUUUCUUCGUAAACAAUCUUCUUGCUUGCGAUUAACUUCUUCCGGAACCUUUCUGGAACGAAUCAUCUUUUCUAGGAAGAUGGAACAUUUUGGGUUAAUGUACCCUGCUUUUUUUCGGAAAACCAUAUGGUUCGUUAUGGAUCCCCUUAUGCAUUAUGUUCGAUAUCAAGGAAAGGCAAUUCUUGCAUCAAAAGGAACUCUUCUUUUGAAGAAGAAAUGGAAAUGUUACCUUGUCCGUUUGUGGCAAUAUUCUUUCUCUUUUUGGACUCAACCGCAAAGGAUCCAUCUAAACCAAUUAGAAAACUCUUGCUUCGAUUUUCUGGGGUACUUUUCAAGUGUACCAAUAAAUUCUUUGUUAGUAAGGAAUCAAAUGCUGGAGAAUUCAUUUCUAAUAGAUACUCAAAUGAAAAAAUUCGAUACCAAAGUCCCUGUUACUCCUCUCAUUGGAUCUUUA